UUUGUUUUCUGUGAUUCAAGACACUGRGUCAGCAUUCCUGCCUCUGGAAAUUUAGGAAAAAUAGGGGCAGCCAGUCCUGGAAGGAAGCCAAUAAGUCCACCAUGAGACCUGCAUUCUUCUCCUCCCMCUCAUCCUCCAAGAACAAGAAGGAGUAGCUUGAGAGCCCACAGGAAAAGGAGCUGAUGGGUCUUGGACACAUUUUC
rnacentral:lncRNA from 1 species